GGGGGUUUAGCUCAGUGGCAUAAGCACCUGCCUUGAAAGCAGGCAGUCGUGAGUUUGAUCCCCA
rnacentral:tRNA from 1 species